AAAUGAAUUGACGGGGGCCCGCACAAGCAGUGGAGCAUGUGGUUUAAUUCGACGCGACCCGAAGAACCUUACCAGGUCUUGACAUCUGCCUAAGCCUGUAGAGAUACGGGCGCGCCCCUUUUGGGGAAAGGCAAGACAGGUGGUGCAUGGUUGUCGUCAGCUCGUGUCGUGAGAUGUUGGGUUAAGUCCCGCAACGAGCGCAACCCUUGAUGCCGGUUGCCAGCAGGCAAAGCUGGGCACUCCGGCGUGACUGCCGUAGACAAUACGGAGGAAGGUGGGGAUGACGUCAAAUCAUCAUGCCCUAUAUGACCUGGGCUACACACGUGCUACAAUGGGGUGAACAACGGGAGGCAAGCCCGCGAGGGCAAGCGGAGCCCUAAAAACACCUCUCAGUUCAGAUUGCAGGCUGCAACUCGCCUGCAUGAAGUCGGAAUUGCUAGUAAUCGCGGAUCAGCAAGCCGCGGUGAAUACGUUCCCGGGCCUUGUACACACCGCCCGU
rnacentral:rRNA from 1 species